GAUGAACGCUAGCUACAGGCUUAACACAUGUAAGUCGAGGGGCAGCAUGGUCUUAGCUUGCUAAGGCCGAUGGCGACCGGCGCACGGGUGAGUAACACGUAUCCAACCUGCCGUCUACUCUUGGACAGCCUUCUGAAAGGAAGAUUAAUACAAGAUGGCAUCAUGAGUCCGCAUGUUCACAUGAUUAAAGGUAUUCCGGUAGACGAUGGGGAUGCGUUCCAUUAGAUAGUAGGCGGGGUAACGGCCCACCUAGUCUUCGAUGGAUAGGGGUUCUGAGAGGAAGGUCCCCCACAUUGGAACUGAGACACGGUCCAAACUCCUACGGGAGGCAGCAGUGAGGAAUAUUGGUCAAUGGGCGAGAGCCUGAACCAGCCAAGUAGCGUGAAGGAUGACUGCCCUAUGGGUUGUAAACUUCUUUUAUAAAGGAAUAAAGUCGGGUAUGCAUACCCGUUUGCAUGUACUUUAUGAAUAAGGAUCGGCUAACUCCGUGCCAGCAGCCGCGGUAAUACGGAGGAUCCGAGCGUUAUCCGGAUUUAUUGGGUUUAAAGGGAGCGUAGAUGGAUGUUUAAGUCAGUUGUGAAAGUUUGCGGCUCAACCGUAAAAUUGCAGUUGAUACUGGAUAUCUUGAGUGCAGUUGAGGCAGGCGGAAUUCGUGGUGUAGCGGUGAAAUGCUUAGAUAUCACGAAGAACUCCGAUUGCGAAGGCAGCCUGCUAAGCUGCAACUGACAUUGAGGCUCGAAAGUGUGGGUAUCAAACAGGAUUAGAUACCCUGGUAGUCCACACGGUAAACGAUGAAUACUUGCUGUUUGCGAUAUACAGCAAGCGGCCAAGCGAAAGCGUUAAGUAUUCCACCUGGGGAGUACGCCGGCAACGGUGAAACUCAAAGGAAUUGACGGGGGCCCGCACAAGCGGAGGAACAUGUGGUUUAAUUCGAUGAUACGCGAGGAACCUUACCCGGGCUUAAAUUGCAGAUGAAUUACGGUGAAAGCCGUAAGCCGCAAGGCAUCUGUGAAGGUGCUGCAUGGUUGUCGUCAGCUCGUGCCGUGAGGUGUCGGCUUAAGUGCCAUAACGAGCGCAACCCUUGUUGUCAGUUACUAACAGGUUCCGCUGAGGACUCUGACAAGACUGCCAUCGUAAGAUGUGAGGAAGGUGGGGAUGACGUCAAAUCAGCACGGCCCUUACGUCCGGGGCUACACACGUGUUACAAUGGGGGGUACAGAGGGCCGCUACCACGCGAGUGGAUGCCAAUCCCCAAAACCUCUCUCAGUUCGGACUGGAGUCUGCAACCCGACUCCACGAAGCUGGAUUCGCUAGUAAUCGCGCAUCAGCCACGGCGCGGUGAAUACGUUCCCGGGCCU
rnacentral:rRNA from 1 species